GAACCGAACGCACCCGAAGCCGCUAUGGCGUCUGGUCAGCGCGCGUUUGUUCAGAAACUGAGCAAACAAGCGAACGCGGACGUCAGGCGCCAAAUUGCGAGUACUGCAGCGGAGAGAGAUUUCGCACAUGGACUUGGCGGAACACAAGGCAGUGUUCCUCUUACUGAUGUUGUUGAGCCCCUAGACUUCGAGGAGUUCCUUCAACAGCAUCAGGAUUUGGCUGAUCGUGAUGCCAUCAGUGACUUGCUAGACUUUCCGUCGGAUGACGUAGAAGUUGGUAUCCUGCCGAGAAAAUGUCGAACCAUAGAGCCCAUUGUGCCAGAGGAGAACCCGGAAGACCUGGACUUCCACAUGAGGCAAUGCCUGCACACCUACACCUCUGACUGGGUAGUGGUGAGUCGGUGCUACCAGGGCCACAGCUCCAGCGUCAUCGUCAGGGAGGCUGCAUUGGAGAGGGCAGCCGUUGUGCGCACCACACAGAAGCAGGAAUUCGAGGUGGACGUCUGCGACGACUUGUCUCGCCAUUCACAGCAGCCACAUCUCUCACAGGGAGAAGAUGUUCCGCCCUCACCAGCAGACAGCAUUUCUUCUGUGGAGUUCCGGUGUGCCAGUGCAGCGGAGACUCCGCGUGGAAGUUGGGCCAGCAGUGUCUUCGACCUGCGCAACUCGGCGGCCGAUCCACUGGUGCCAUCCCUGCUUGAGCGUACGCCUCCUGAUGAAUUGGAUCGCCGAAAUGCGGCUCAGCGUCUUGAAAGGCGUCACGAUGCCCUCUUUGAGCUGUACCCCCUCCAGGAUGAGGAGGAAAUCAUUGAAAGACGGAUGCCUGCAGAGCCACCACGUGAACACAUGGCUCACCGGAUUCUGGUUAGAUGCCUGGCUCUCAAACUUGAGCUGGAGGUUGAGCCAAUCUUCGGAAGCAUGGCUAUUUAUGAUGCCAAAGAGAAAAAGAAGGUUUCGGAGAACUUUUACUUUGACAUGAACUCUGAACCUAUGAAGAGGAUGCUCUCGGACCACAUUCCUUACCAUGACAUCUCGACGCUUUGUCGAUCUUGCAUCUUCAACAUCACAUACCCAUCAACUGACCUGUUUCUAGUCAUCAAACUUGAGAAAGUUCUACAGGGAGACAUCAAUGAAUGUGCGGAGCCUUACAUGAAGGACGAAAAGAACAAGGACAAGGUUCGUGCCAACGCUCUGGCAACAUGCAAGCGCCUCGGCAAGUACCGCAUGCCCUUUGCCUGGACAGCAGUCUAUCUGCUCAAUGUGCUGACAGGGGUCAGCAGCCUCGACAAGGACAGUGGCAGCGAUCGAGACAGCAUUGGCUCAAACAACACCCUGGCAAACCUUGGAAUCGUUGUCGGUCGACGUGGCUCUCUGGAACGACGGGCUGGAUCCGAGAAGCGUCGCAGCUGGUCUCCUGACGACUUUGCUAACAGUCUUGACACUUUUCGCCCGGUUACCCUCACUGUGUCAAGCUUUUUCAAGCAGGAAAGUGACAGACUGAGAGAUGAAGAUCUGUACAAGUUCCUCAUUGACCUCAAGCGGUCAGGCUCAAUGCUGAAAAGACUCAAAAGCAUCCCAGGCACGCUGCGCCUGGACAUAUCCCCAUGUGCGGAGGAGUUGCGGUACUGCCUAAGCCCUGAGCUGGCACGUCUUCAUCCAUACCCAGACGAGAAGGGCCGCCCAACGAAAGAGAUGCUCGAGUUUCCCUUACGUGAUGUCCUCAGGCCAGAGUACAUCUACCGGAACCUUCUCUACAUCUACCCUCGAUCACUCAACUUUGCCGGCCGGCCAGGCUCAGCGCGCAACAUUGCUUGCCGCGUGCAGCUCCUCUGUGGAGAGGAUGAGGUUACCUGCGCUCUUCCUGUGCUCUUUGGUAAAUCAAGCUGUCCUGAAUUUGUCACCGAAGUCUACACUACGGUGACAUAUCACAACAAGUCUCCUGACUUCCACGAUGAGGUCAAGGUGAAAUUGCCGGCCAAGCUCACAGACAGACAUCACCUGUUCUUCACGUUCUACCACAUAAGCUGUCAACGCAAGGUGGAGCAGACAACGCCAACUGAAACUCCUAUUGGCUACACUUGGUUGCCACUGUAUCAUGACGGGCAGCUGCAGACGGGAGACCAGUUGCUACCAGUGAUGCUGGAGCACCCUCCAGCCAGCUACUCCUUCCUUACACCUAGCGUCCAGAUACCCAACACCAAGUGGGUUGACGGCCACAAGGGGCUCUUUGACAUUUCCUUACAACCAGUCUCCACUGUCCAUCCUCAGGACGAGCACCUAGACCGAUUCUUCCAGCUUUGCACGGCUGUCGAGUGUGGCCACGUGCCACAGCGUCUUCUCAAUGGCGAGACGGCAGAGACCAUGCUGCGGGCUAGCCUAAUGGAGCUCGUGAAAUGCAAACCGGGCCCGCUUGUGCGUUUCCUGCCGACCAUUCUAGAUGCGCUAGUACGGCUUCUUGUCCAGCCGCCCCGGCUUGGGGGCCAGCCAUUCAACCUUGGGCAGGCUGCAUUCCAAGCACUGGCCGCAGUGGCUGAUUCAGUGGUGAAGCUUUUGGAUGAUCGCAAUGACACUCACGGACGGAAUGCCCUGCUGGCCACCUACAUCCAGUACCAGUGCACUUUGCCACAUCCCGAGCCAUACCUGCCGUCACCAUCCAACGACGGACCUUCACCUCCAUUUCCUGGAUCUGCAUGCAGCCCAGCUGGGCAUCCAGCAUGUUCUGUGCCUCUUUCGAAAUCUCCCCAUGGUCGCAGCAGCAGCAACCCAGACCUUGCGAGCUCGAGUGCUUCGACCCUGGCGCACAUCGAGUCAGACUCGGACGUGAGCACAGUUGUGGCACGACCCCUAGACCGCACGGCCAGCAUGCGGCCCGCCAACGGGACGGCCUCAUCGCCCCUGAGGUCACCACCACCGCGGAAGUUGGUUCACGAGGAGCUCGUUCUACAGUGGGUGGUGUCUAGCGGAACUGCACGGGAGCUGGCGCUCAACAACACGUGGUUCCUGCUGGAGCUGGUGAUCAAGAGCAUGACUCAGCACCUUGCUGCCACGGGCCGACUUCAGGCACCACGCCGGGCGAGGUUCAGCAGUCGCUUUGUGGACGAUGUCACGACCUUGGUGACCUCACUGACAUCUGAUGUUAUUAGCCGCUGCCACCGAGAGGUGCGGGAUUUCCGGAAUGUGCAGAACCUUAACAACAGCCUGGCCUUCUUCCUGCACGACCUGCUGUCUGUCAUGGACCGUGGAUAUGUCUUCAAGCUGAUCAAGGCCUUCUGCAAGCAAGUCUCAGCCAAGAUCCAGUCUCUGCCUGACGCAAGCAGCCUGGCAUCAUUGAAGCUGGACUUCCUCCGUGUACUGUGCAGUCACGAGCACUUUGUGACCCUCAACCUGCCCUUUGCAACCCCACUGACCCCUUCACCACCGACGUCUCCUUGCCCAAGCAUUGCAUCAUCCCAGGGCUCUGUGGUGUCCAGCUCUACUCUCACGGACCGGGGCAGUGCCUUCGCUGAGCUUUCGCCUGAGUUUCGCCAGCAACAUUUCCUUGUGGGCCUGGUUUUGGCUGACCUUGCAACUACCUUGCAGACCAGCAACUCAACGCUACAGGCCAAGGCUGUCAACAUGGCUCGAAACCUGCUGACAGUGCAUGAUUGGGACCCCCGUUUUACAGACCUGGACGUUGUCCGACCAAGGGUUGCUGCCCUUUACCUGCCUCUAAUUGCCGUGGUGGUGGAUGCUCUGCCGUGUCUGUUUGAAUGGCAACCUGAAGCAAGAGUUCGUUUUGCGGAAACUACAGAACCGAAUUCCAAGCGCCGUCCACCGUCCAUUCAUCAAGCAGUUGCCAACGCAAUUGCUGGUUCAUCUGUGCCUUGGCGGGAUAACCCUGAACAUGGCAGUGCCUAUGCUCAGGGCCAGCAGAGCCAGCUGAAGGAAGAGGCCACCAGGCACCUUUUGGUCUGUUUCCUGUGGGUGCUCAAGAAUGCCGACCAGCGCACGCUGCGCCAGUGGUGGGCGGAAUGGCCUCUUCACCGCCUGCAGCGCCUGCUCGACGUCCUCUACAUUUGUGUCUCCUGCUUCGAGUACAAGGGAAAGAAGACGAUGCGCAAGUUUGCCCAGCAGACACUGAGGAAGACAUCGGACAUCAAGUCCAAGCUAGAAGAUGCCAUCCUGGGCCACUCGAGUGCACGCAGCGAGAUGAUGAUGCGACGCCGUGGAAACAACGCUGGGGUGGUUGGAGGAGAACGCAGUGGCGCACCACAGGCACCAGCGCAGGGCGACCGGCUGAGGUGGCGCAAAGACCUAACACAGUGGCGUCACGGCUCGGAAAAUUAUGACAGACCGAAGGUUGAAGUUGAAAUGGAGGCCCACAUUGAAGGGAAUUUGUCCACUGAAGCGACAGCAACAAUCCUUGACGUCCUUGAACUGAUCAUACAGGUGGUAUCUCAGUCGGAUGCACAACAAAGUGUGCUGGGCACCGUGCUGCGUGUCCUGUUGCAUGCCCUGGACUGCAACCAGAGCACUCUGGUACUUCAGAACCUGUUUGCUACACAGCGCUCACUUGUCUUCAAGUUUCCCGAGCUUCUGUUUGAGGAAGAGACGGAGCAGUGUGCCGACCUGUGCCUGCUUCUCCUGAGGCAUUGCAGCUCCUGCAUCAGCAGCGUCCGAUCCCAGGCCUCCGCCUCACUCUACCUCCUCAUGCGCCAGAACUUUGAGAUUGGAAAUAACUUUGCAAGAGUCAAGAUGCAGGUGACAAUGUCACUGAGUUCGCUUGUUGGGACAAGCCAGACAUUCAAUGAGGAAUUUCUGCGCAAGUCACUCAAGACUAUCCUAGUCUAUGCUGAAGAAGAUGUGGAACUCCAGGAGACUACAUUCCCAGAGCAGGUUCGGGACCUGGUGUUCAACCUGCACAUGAUACUGUCGGACACGGUGAAGAUGAAGGAGUUUCAGGAAGACCCCGAGAUGCUGCUUGACCUCAUGUACCGCAUUGCGAAAGGCUACCAGAACUCGCCUGACCUGCGACUCACCUGGCUUGCAAACAUGGCACAGAAGCACACCGAGAGGGGUAACCACACUGAGGCAGCGCACUGCCUCGUCCACUCAGCAGCUUUAGUAGCUGAGUACCUGCACAUGCUGGAGUACAAGCCACACCUGCCCAUAGGAUGUGUUUCCUUCGAGAAUGUGUCUCAAAACAUCCUGGAAGAGAGUGCAGUGUCGGAUGACGUGUUGUCCCCAGACGAAGAAGGCAUAUGCACUGGGAAAUACUUCACUGAGAAUGGGCUUGUCGGUCUGCUGGAGCAGGCAGCCAACUCAUUUUCCUUGGCUGGUAUGUACGAAGCAACAAACGAGGUGUACAAAAUCCUGAUACCCAUCGCUGAGGCGCAACGAGACUACAAGAAGCUUGCCAACAUUCAUAACAAGCUUCAUGAAGCUUUCACCAAAGUUGACCAGCAGGCUGGCAAGAGAGUAUUUGGCACAUAUUUUCGUGUGGGGUUCUAUGGCCCACGGUUCGGAGACUUGGAUGGUGAGGAGUUCAUCUACAAGGAACCCACUCUCACCAAACUGCCCGAAAUCUCGCACAGACUAGAGAACUUUUACUCCGAACGAUUUGGCUCUGACUAUGUGGAGGUCAUCAAGGAUUCAAACAUGGUGGAUGUCUCAAGGCUUCAUCCAGAAAAAGCGUACAUCCAGAUAACCUAUGUGGAGCCCUAUUUUGACAUGUAUGAAUUGCGGGAGCGGGUGACGCACUUCGACAAAAACUACAACAUCAGGCGUUUCGUCUAUGCCACACCCUUCACAACUGAUGGUCGAGCCCACGGUGACCUCCAUGAGCAGUUCAAACGGAAAACUAUUGUAACCACAGCGAAUUCUUUUCCAUAUGUAAAAACACGCAUCCAGGUCAUUGAGAGGACACAGAUUGUCCUUCGGCCGAUUGAAGUGGCCAUUGAGGACAUCCAGAAGAAGACGGCCGAGCUGUCGCAGGCGACACGGCAAGAGCCGGCUGACCCCAAGAUCCUGCAGAUGGUGCUGCAAGGUUGCAUGGGCACUACCGUCAACCAGGGGCCUCUCGAGGUGGCUCUUGUCUUCCUCGCUGACUUGCUCGACCCUUCACGUGUCCCCACACCACCACAGCACAAACUGAGACUCUGCUUCCGUGACUUCAGCCGCAAGUGCUUUGAGGCAUUGCGUAAAAACAAGACCCUGAUUGGACCUGACCAGCGGGACUACCAGAAGGAACUGGAGCGCAACUACAAUCGUUUCAGUGAACGGCUACAGCCCAUGAUACGUAACAACAGUGCCUCUCCAUUUUGGGCAAAAGGAAACUUGCUGCGUCAACCAUUGCAAGAGCCCUGAUGUGCCGCAGGUGAUGUUGCGAACACGUGACGUAUGACGUGAUGUUGGCCUAGUUUUUAUGUUAGCCAUUGUGAGCAUUUAGCCAAAGCCAUUCAGGAAACAAUAGCACAGUGUUUUCUAACAGCUCCAAGUAAGAUCUAUUUUCAAACCAACUGCUUGUGUGAAAGUUGAGCUCUUGUCAUGUGCCUACUUUGCUGAGCAUGUAAGGCUGUGCAGUGAGGUGUGUGCCUUCUGGAAUGUUGUUUCAUUUGUGCAUGUACACAGUACUUCAUGUUUCAUUACUGCCAUUGUGCAGUAUUUCCUGUGAUCUCCUAAGUGACCAAAUGAAGACCUAUGGCAUACAGAUGUGUUAAUUUCAAUGAGCAAAAGUGCUCCCAUAAUAGUUGUUUCAUUUGUAUAAAGGCAGGUCAUGCUGAGCCGUGCGGUUUUAUUUGUUUACAAGGUUCUUUUAAUGCUCAUUUUUAGUUUGUAGCAGUAAUUGUCCUUAAUUGUUUGUAUUUGAUGUUCUUUAGCUUUGUUUGGGACCACUAGGUGGACUACUUAAAGAAAUGAAGUAAGCGCAAGUUCAAAGCACUGCCAUAGCCAGUUUCACAUUGCUUCAGAAACACAAGUUCUGUUAGAACACUUCUGUAUUUUGCAUUGACUGCAGGUACUGUGCUUUGACUGUUUCAUCUCCUGGUGCUAAGAACCGGUGAAAUGGCUAAGCCAUUCUCAAAAUAUUGUGUUAUAUUGCCCUUCUUGAAUGAAAGCAGUGGAAUUUUAGCCUUAAGCACUGAAUGAAUGGAUGGUCAAUACAAUUUCAGUGAGAAGCAUACUGGGGGAGCUCAGUAUUGUGUAACAUGCUUUAAAGUUCCUGCUUUAUUUUGCUUGGGU
rnacentral:misc_RNA from 1 species